ACACAGAGUCUUUUGAAGGUCUCACUGGCAGUACUCCUUCAAACUUACCCAAUAUGCCCCACUCAAAGGCCCUCCCAGGCUUGUGGGAACAGAAAGAUUUCUUGAAAUGGAAAGGAGGGUUGUGAAUGAGUGAGGAAAUUCAGCAUGGAGAUAUGAGAGGCUCACUCUUUAGCCACACGGAACCGGGGACUCCAAGGCAACCCCAUUCCCAGAGUUCUUUCGAGGGUGGGGCUAAUGACAUGGGACCAAGAAUUGACUCCAGGAAAGGGCAUGGUGAUGUGUGGCCUCCCAGACAGCCUCAGAGCAAGCAGGUGGAUUUGACUUAGGCUGUGGGGAAGGCAACAGCCUCUGUAUAUUUUUCCAUCUUGAUGCUGAGUCAGACAAGGCAGUUAGUGGUUCUUUCCAGAAUCCCUGCCAGCCUUUUAAAGAAAAAGUCUUUGCAGAUUUUGCUUUAGUCCAUCUCUGCCAAGGGGUCAUUUUCUAUGUUGUACUUCCUCCCUAUGUGAGGGCAAGGAUAAUGUAGCCUUGUGUAGACUGUAUAUACGCUUCAGUUCCUAGCUAAGCCACAUUGAGACCUCAGUAAAACAGGUUUGAUUGCAAUCAGAAAAGAGUUGAUUUGAGAUUUAAAGGAAAUGACAUGGAUACAGUGCUCACCAGAAAGUAUUAAAAUGGUAUUUGUUGCUUAUUAUUGGUAGUUAUUGUCAUGAUAUUGCUACUGAUGCUGAACAAAGACCCAAGAACCAGGGUGAUGUUUAGCAUGGGCUGGCCUCAGCAGGACUGAAAGGACAUCAAUAAGGGAGAACAGAGAGAAGGAAGGAGGACAAGUGCCAACUUUGAGCAGGUAUCAGGUGUAUGUGGGGGCAAACCAUUUCUCCGUCCACCCUGAUGAUGAGUCCCCGUUUCCCUUUUUAAGGCCUGAUUUUUGCACCCUCACCCCACCUAAGGCAGCCAGGGGCCCACACUGCAAUACUCCUAGGUAACAUCCAUACUUUUUUUUUUUUUUUGAGAUAGAGUCUCCCACUGUCACCCAGGUUGGAGUGCAAUGGCGAGAUCUCGGCUCACUGCAACCUCCGCCUCUCAGGUUCACGUGAUUCUCCUGCCUCAGCCUCCAGAGUAGCUGGGAUUACAGGCGCACACCACCAUACCCGGCUAAUUUUUUGUAUUUUUGGUAGAGACAGGGUUUCACUAUGUUGGCCAGACUGGCGUCGAACUCCUGACCUCGUGAUCUGCCCGCCUCGGCCUCCCAAAGUGCUGGGAUUACAGGCGUGAGCCACUGUGCCUGGCCAACAUCCAUACUCU
rnacentral:lncRNA from 1 species